rnacentral:rRNA from 1 species
UACGGAGGAUGCGAGCGUUAUCCGGAUUUAUUGGGUCUAAAGGGUGCGUAGGCGGACGCUUAAGUCAGCGGUAAAAUUGCGGGGCUCAACCUCGUCGAGCCGUUGAAACUGGGUGCCUUGAGUGGGCGAGAAGUACGCAGAAUGCGUGGUGUAGCGGUGAAAUGCAUAGAUAUCACGCAGAACUCCGAUUGCGAAGGCAGCGUACCGGCGCCCAACUGACGCUGAAGCACGAAGGCGUGGGUAUCGAACAGG